rnacentral:RNase_P_RNA from 1 species
CCAGUUGGCUGGGCAGCCGCGCUUUACCAAUGCCGAAAGGCGGUAGGGUGAGGAAAGUCCGGGCUCCACGGAAACACGGUGCCGGAUAACGUCCGGCGAGGGCGACCUCAGGGAAAGUGCCACAGAAAGCAAACCGCCUGUCAUGACAGGUAAGGGUGAAAGGGUGGGGUAAGAGCCCACCGCAUCUCCGGCAACGGAAAUGGCACGGUAAACCCCACCGGGAGCAAAACCGAAUAGGGAUGACGCGGUCGGCCGAAAGGCCUUCCGGCUGGUUUCCAGGCCAGUCAUCCGGGUGGGUUGCGUGAGGCAGCGUGCGAACGCUGUCCCAGAGGAAUGGCUGCCACGUUCCGGUUCACGCCGGAGCCAUACAGAACCCGGCUUACAGGCCAACUGGCGAU